rnacentral:lncRNA from 12 species
AUGGAUUUUGAUUUAUUUGAUGAUGGGAUCAGACUCCUCUGUAUCAUCAGGAACCUUCACAAGUUUUCUGCUAAGGGAAGGGACAGUAAGAUUUGCAUUAAUGUUUUUCAUUAUUUUCCUUCCACUGCAACUGAGAUUUGAGAAACCCUGCCCUGCCACCAGCCCUGCCAGCCCUUUUCCCACUGCACACAGGAGCACAUCCCAUAAAUAUGGAGUGACUGCAGCCAGCCAUCUGCAAGGGAACCAACAUUCAGCUGCAAUAAGCAGAUCUGCAGAGCAGCACACUCCUUUACCCAGCCCAGCUCCUGCCAGGCUCUGAGGAGUGCCCAGUCUGACUGGUGCCCACAGCUCUGCUCCCACAGAAUAAACCACAGACCACAGGAUGGAUCCAGCUGGGAAAACCCACCCAUGCUGCUCCAGGAAUCCGUAGGAAUGCGGGGGAAACAUGGCCUGGGGAUGAUUAACCCUAGUGCACCUCAGAAGGGGGAAAAGAGCUGAUGGCUUCAUCUUCAGAAAUGGACCACAGGGACUAGGACACCCCUGAAUUUUAU